UGGAAGGGCUUCUUCAAGCUGGUUCUUCAUAUUUUUAUUACAAGUAAGUUCAAUUCUUGACUAUUUCUUGAAAUUUUUGUAUUUUUAUGACUUUUACAACUAGGCCCACUUGUUAAAUUCAUUAGUUUUUGAUUUUAUGAAAGAAGUUGAAAGUUGAUAUGAAUAUGUGCUGGAAGUAUAUGAUGAUUUAGCAUGAAAUUAGAGCUUUAGAUUGUUCAUAUGCUGAUUUUAUUGAAAGAAUUGAAUAGAAAGUGAAUGUUUGGGACCUAAUAGUAAAAGAGUUUGAAGAUAGAGUUAUAUGUGGAAAUUCUGAAUUUCAAUAGUUGUGUAACAACUUAUAAUGUCUAGUAAAGUACUAAUUGAGAAAAUUAGAUUAAUUGAGGGGUUAAUUGAGAAAGGACCGAAUUGUAUAAACUGUGAAAUUUGGGGCAAAAUGGAAAUCAACAUUUUGCACUAAAGCAGUUUUGGACAGCAGCAGUAGUGUAACUUUGAAAAAUCACCAAAAAUUGUAGAGAUUGAAUUAGAGGAUGAAUAAAAUAUGAAAUUAAAGCUUAUUGAGUCUAGUUUCUUAUAAAAGAAAUGAUGUGAGCAAUGGAAUUGUAAAUCAUGAGAUAUAAUAGAUUUUGUGAGACAAGGUCAGAAUGAAUUCGGGUUCCCCUGUUCUGACUUUGGAAAAUCAUUAAAAAUUGUACAGAAAUUAUUAUGAGUUAUAGUUUAUAUGGUUAGAAUCCUUAAUGAGUCUAUUUUUAGAAGAAACAAGCUAAAACAUCAUAUGAAUUCUGUACAAUGAGAUAAUUAAUUUUUAGUGAAGAGUGGUCGGAACUGUCAGACAGCAAAACAGGGGAAACUUUAAAGAAUAAACUGUACUAUUUGGCUGAACCAAAAAUUAUGAAAAUUUUAUGGUAUGAAGAUAUGUGAGUCUAGUUUCAGGGAAAAUUAACGGAUCUUAAUUUGGAGCUCUGUAGCUCCAGAUAAAAAUAAUUUAGUGACUCUGACUCGGAUAAACAGCUUUGAAUAUACAUGUUAGUGAAUAUUGAAAUUAUGGUUAAUGUUGUUUAAGUGUGUUAUACACAUUAAGGAUGUGGAAUGGAGAGGAGGAGGAGGAAAAUUGGGAAAUAUAUGAAUGAUUCGUGUAUAAAUGGUCAUAUGUUUGAUUAUAACUCAUAAACGAUGAAAUAUGAAUGAUGGUUAUUUUUGUGCAUUAUUGGUCAUGGUUUAAGCUCAUGUGUGAAAAUAAAGUUUCAUAGUAUGUGUGUAUGGUAUAUUCAGUAUAUGAUUUGGCAUGAAAUAAUACCAUGAAUGGUUUAUGAAUUAACACAUGUUGGUAAGCCUGAUAUAUGAAUAAAUGAUCAAAUUGAGCGGAACGCCGGAUUUGAGUACUUCUGAUCAAGUGAUAAAGUGAUAAGUGGUAGCUUUAGCUACACUUAUUUGAUCAAGUGACAAGUGGAAAGUGAUAAGUAAUAGCUUCGGCUAUACUUAUCUGAUCAAGUGAUAAAGUGAUAAGUGAUAGCUUCGGCUAUACUUAUCUGAUCAAGUGACAAAGUGAUAAGUGAUAGCUUCAGCUAUACUUAUCUGAUCAAGUGACAAGUGGAAAGUGAUAAGUAAUAGCUUCGGCUAUACUUAUCUGAUCAAGUGAUAAAGUGAUAAGUGAUAGCUUCGGCUAUACUUAUCUGAUCAAGAGACAAAGUGAUAAGUGAUAGCUUUAGCUACACUUAUCUGAUCAAGAGACAAAGUGAUAAGUGGCUACACUUAUCUGAUCAAGAAACAAAGUGAUAGGUGGCUACACUUAUCUGAUCAGGGACAAGUGAUAAGUGAUCAUACGUAAGACCAUAGUUAUACUAUGGCAAAGUGAAAGUGAAGUACUCAAUUUUCCGUGACCGUUCCCUAAUUUGAUUAAAGAUGGUAAGUGACAAAUGGGCCCAAAAGAAUUAAAGUAAAUGGAUAAGUGGUAGUGUAUUUAUAUCAGGACGAUGUUGUUAUUCAAACUAAAGUGAUAUUUUCAUUGCUAAAUUGAGAAUUUCAUAAAUGUGUUAUUGAAUGGUAUAAUCAAUAAACAUUGAGUUAAAUGGUAAAUACGUAUUAGUUUUGAAUUUGAUGUCAUUGAAUUGUAUGUGAAUUAAAUGGAAAUUUCUAGUGAUAUGAUUUAAAUUAUGAGCAUGAGAAAUUGCGAAUUGAAUGAAAUGGAAAUGAAGCAUUAAAUUGCAUGAGUAUGUAUCGGGUCUCGCAGGCCCUAAUUAUUAUGAUUAUAAUAUUUUAAGGAUAUAUUGUGAAAAGUUAUAGAAACAUGUUAAUUAUUUUUGAAAGUUUUAAUUUUGAUGAAAUUUUAUAACUCGGUUAAAUACGUUUACAAGUGUAUGUGUUUUGGUAAUGCCUCGUACCCUAUUCCGGUGUUGGAUACGGGUAAGGGGUGUUACAUGUAGACUUUCUCCUCAUGUCCCUUGACUUGGAAUGCCUCAGGUUGCUUUUCUCUCAUUGCUUUAAUCUACUUGUCAUCCUUCUCAGCUUCUUUAAACUCAGCACACUCAAAUACAACGACAUUGCACCUUUCAUAGAUUUUAGAUAAAGAUCUUGUGUUACGAACUGGAACAUCAUUGAUGUUGUCAUCAAAGUACUGAGGAGUCUCUAGCAAUUCCUUCAUUGUUGACUUUUUCUCCAUUAGAUUUAAAGCAAAAAUUUUCGCUUUUAUUUUUACUUUGAAUACAUCUCUACCUUUUGAGUCUUUGAUCAAACACCAUUUGUCUUCAAAUAUGAUCUUGAAUCAUUUUUCAAUCAAUUGCCCAACACUUAGAAGAUUUUGGUCAAUGUUAGGCACAUAUAGAACAUCAGUUAUAUGUUUCAAACCUCUUAAACUUUCAAGAACCACUGUUCCUUUUCCUUUAACUAGAAUAAACUCACCCUUUCCAAUUUUUAUUUUGAAAAUAAUAGCUUUAUCAAGUUCUUUGAAAAGUGUUGGGUCAUUGGCCAUGUGAUUUGUGUAGCCGCUAUCGAUCAACCAAGAAUCAUUGGAGAAACAUGUCUCCCAAAAAGGAACCCAUCUUCUUGUUGCUCAAUAGAUGCUUUUGCCUCAUGUUGUUGAGACUUACAGACCUGCUCCAUGUGCCUAGUACUACCACAUUUUUUGCAUUUGAUAUUAGGCCUCCACCAACAUUUUUUUGGCAAGUGAUUUGUCUUCUUACAAUGUGGGCAUGGUGGAUAUGUCUCAUUGCUGUUAUUAUUACUGGUCUCAUCUUUAAUUUUCUUAUUUUUGCCUCUUGAAUUUCAAACUUUGCUUGAAAAGUACCCUCUACUGAUGCUUUUUGUCUCAUCUUUCUCCUUUGUUCUAUAGCCUGCAAUGCAUUCACUAAUUUUGCCAAGGAUAUACUUGACAAAUCCUUAUAUUCUUCUAAUGAAGAAAUUUUAGACUUAUAUUUUUAAGGCAAAGUGACAAGAUUUUUUUGCACUAUUCAAUCAUCGAAAAAAUCCUUACCCAACAAUCUUACCUUAUUUACUAUGUCCUCCAACUUGUCAGAAUAGUCUUUAAUGGUUUAUGUCUCCUUCAUUUUCAUCAUUUUAAAGUCUCUGAUUAGAUUGAGAACUUGCAUAUUUUUUGUUCUUUUAUUGCCCUAAUAUUCUUUCUUGAGGUAGUCCUAAAUUUCUUUUGCUAACCUCAAAUUCAUGAUUCUUGUAAAUAUUUUGCUUGAAACAAUAGAGAAAAGACAUGCUUUAGCUUUGGACUUCAUUGUCUUCUUCUCUUUGUGAGUCUUCAGUUGAUUCAUAGUUAGAUUUGCUGGCAAAGAUGGAACAUCGUAGUUUUCUUCUAUUGCUUCCCAAAGAUCCAUUGCAUCAAGAUAGAUUGUCAUUCUAACAGCCCAAGCUUGAUAGUUACCGCCAUAAAAAAUUGGUGGAACUAUAUGAGAAAAUCCGUUAAGAUAAAAGCUCAGAUACCAAUUAUUGGUUUUUUAGCAACAAUAUAAAGCACAGAAAAUAUGAAAGAAAGAUAUAUUGGAAGCACACUAUAAUCUGUUGUAUUUUUCAUAUUAUAUAGUGAAAAAACAAAAACAAAAACUUGCAAAACUUACUCCUAAUAAACCCACAAACACUUAACUUACUCUUAUAAUCAUGUAACAAAAAUUUAAAUCCCAAAAGACGUGGUCUACAGACCAAUUAUUAAGCAAGUCUAAGGCACAUCCUCAACAAUAUCUAAAUGAAAGUUAGUGGGAAAAAAAAGAAAAAACUAUCUUCUUUUCUUCCUCUUCUCCCCUAUUCGACUAAAGCCAACAAAAAAAUAAAAAUCCCUUCAAGCUUUUAUCAUUAUCGGAUCUUUAUUAGGAUUAUUGGUAAGUAUUUUUUAUAAAUUGAUGAUGACUUUUUUAUUGUUAAGUUUAAAUUCCUUAAACCCAUUUAUUUGAUUAUUGAAUUAAUGGAAUUAAAACUCAACCCCAUAGUUAGAAGAUUCAAGAAUUUGAAUGUUAAUAGCUUAACUUCAUGCAUGUUAAUAGUAAUUAUGGUUAUUGAUUUUUGUAAUGAAAUUUUAGUGAAAGUAUAGAACUAAGUUAAAAUUAAGUAUAGAUUAUAUAGUUAAAUUUUGUGUAAUUAAGGACUAAAUUUUAAAGGAUAAAAACUUUAGGGUUUGAUAAUAAAUAAUGGUUGUAAGAGGUAUCUAUACCAUAUUUAUUAAGCUAGAUUUAAAUUCGAUAAGUAAAUUUGUGAGAAACUGUUGUUUCAGAUAUUAGGGUGUAUAAGGACUAAAUCGAAUAAAAUGCAUUCAUGUAUAUAAUGUGUUGAUUUGUGCUUGAACUGUGUGAUUAAUGAAUUUUUCGUAUUCAAAUUUAAUUUCGUAGAUAAAGGUGACGUAAGACCAUCUUAGAAUAAAAGAAAAUCCAAAGCCAUUGACAAAUAAAUAUUCUAAUUUGUGCUCUCAUAACUCAAGUUCAUUAAAUAAUUAAAUAUAUACAUUUAAACCAAUAUAUGUUCAAGAAUGGUUAACUAUCAAUAAGAAUGCAUUUGACAAGUAUGUAUAUACUUGAUUUAGUGAUUUGUAAUCAAUUGGUUGAAUUAAUAUAUAUAUAUAUGCUUGAUGAUAUUAUACGAUUAAUAAUGACGAAUUUGCCUUAUUAAUGUUGUCGGAUAGAGCCACGGGUAUAGUUGGCAUGCAAUAGGUCUAUACUGAUAGGUGGGAGAUUCAGCGCUAUGCGCAUACAUAUUGUGAUAGUUCUCUAAUAUCUAAGGGGUCGAGAACAUAUCACUAGCUUAAAUACCCUAGGGGUACGUAUUUUGGUGUGGUUGGUGCGAUUGGUGCAUUUACGUCUGAUUAACACUUCAGUGCAUAUUUUGUGUCAUGAUGGAUUGAUUCGAGUAUUUGUUCUUAUAUUUGAUUUGGUUAAUAGAGAUUUAUAAUGUAAAAAUGAUAUGUUGAACAUUUAUUAAAUCGAAAUGAGAUAUUGAUGCUAACAUGAGACAUGAUUUUGAUAUGUUAAACUAGAUGCAAAUACCCUGAGAGUGCAUUGGAAAUUAUAUCGAGAAAUUAAAUAAAACAUCAAUGAGAAUAAAAUGAAAUGAUAAAUAAUCUAUUGAUAUAUACAUAUCUUUAAUGUUAAUGUGAAAUGGUUAGUUGGUUAACUUGAGUUAUCAUGUUACUUAUGUUUAUUAGAUUUUGUUAUGUUUAUAAUUCAAUUCAAAUUAUGUUAGCACCACUGAGUAACCAUUAUUUAGUGUACAAAUUUGUUUGUUUCUGUGUGCAUGUUUUAGAUAAAAGCAAUAAAAGUUUCAUCCAACUCUCAGACUCAGCUUGGAAACCAUUACGAUCUUAUUUUGUAUGUAUAUGUUCUGAAGUCAUAUGGGAUGUACCUAGGUUGGUAGGCUUGUUGCCUAAGUUAAUUUUGACACUUUUGCUAAGUGACUUAUGAUGUUAUAGUGGUUGAAUUUUAUUUUGCGGUUACUAGUGAAUUAUACUUGAUUAUAUGAGUUUGAAUGUAUCGCCCUAAAAUAUAAGGGGUUAAUAGAAAUAAAUAACUAAGAAAUGAUCUUGGUUGAUGGUUAAGUAGUUAGUACAUUCCUUAGAGGUCCUAGGUUCAAUCCACUUCUCUCUCAUUUCUUUUCCUUUUCAUUCUCAACAAACUAGGAUAAAAACAACCCUUAAAUGAAUAUUAAAUGGUAUAAAAACUUAAAAAGAAUGCCCAAAUGGUUAAGUAGUUAUUUCCCCCUUACAUACCAAGUCCGAGCCACCUCAUUUCCCUUCUAUUUUUGUAGAAUAAAGGAAAUUAUCCUGUAGCCGCUUAAAAGUUUGAAAACCUAGCUAUUUAGUCCCCUUUUCCUAAUUACAUUAGGACUUUGUUUUAUUUUCCAUUCCAAAUUAGAAUUUCUCCCUCUUUUCCCUAUAUAUUCAUCUUUUCUUUUCUUCCCUUUUUCUUUUCAUCAUAUUUCACAUUAUUUUGUUAUUGAAAAUUAUUUACUUCUCGAAUCAAAUCUAUUCCCUAUUUAAACUCAUUUUUCAUCCGAAUUCGUGAUCGCAAUUAGAAACAUUUUUUGAUCGUUGCCAAGAAUUAUUAAGAACAUUCCAAUCACGAUGUUUAGAUCUUAAAAUUCUUGUAGAAUUUCUAUUCACGUUAAUUUUAAGAUCAAUUAAAUGAUCUUUUACGAAUCCUGCCGAAAUCUUUUGAAAUCUUGAUUUUUCUUGAAAAUAGUUAUUAAUUCUUAUGUAAAUGUUGUUUGAAGGACCCUAUUUAGGUACCCCAGAUCAGAUUGGAAUGUAAGGAACAUUGCUAGAUACCCUUGUGACAGGUGUGUGUUCUUUUACAAGUGAAUCGGGGCAAAAUUGUGCCUAGGAUAAGGCCACACGUGCUGCCACACGGCCAUGUACCAUGGAAACCUUAGUGUUGUUCAUGAACCACACAGCCUGGUCCCUUCCACAUAACCGUGUC
rnacentral:lncRNA from 1 species